GCGUCUGUAGCUCAAUGGCAGAGCACCAGAUUGUGGAUCUGGGGGUUGUGGGUUCGAGCCCCAUCAGACGCCCCU
rnacentral:tRNA from 1 species